GGAACCGUAGUUCAUCGGUAGAACGCGACUCUUAUAAAGUCGAUGCAGAAGGUCCGACUCCUUCCGGUUCCA
rnacentral:tRNA from 1 species